AUUGAACGCUGGCGGCAGGCCUAACACAUGCAAGUCGAACGGUAACAGGAAGAAGCUUGCUUCUUUGCUGACGAGUGGCGGACGGGUGAGUAAUGUCUGGGAAACUGCCUGAUGGAGGGGGAUAACUACUGGAAACGGUAGCUAAUACCGCAUAACGUCGCAAGACCAAAAAGGGGGACCUUCGGGCCUCUUGCCAUCGGAUGUGCCCAGAUGGGAUUAGCUAGUAGGUGGGGUAACGGCUCACCUAGGCGACGAUCCCUAGCUGGUCUGAGAGGAUGACCAGCCACACUGGAACUGAGACACGGGCCAGACUCCUACGGGAGGCAGCAGUGGGGAAUAUUGCACAAUGGGCGCAAGCCUGAUGCAGCCAUGCCGCGUGUAUGAAGAAGGCCUUCGGGUUGUAAAGUACUUCAGCGGGGAGGAAGGGAGUAAAGUUAAUACCUUUGCUCAUUGACGUUACCCGCAGAAGAAGCACCGGCUAACUCCGUG
rnacentral:rRNA from 1 species